AACGAACGCUGGCGGCAUGCCUAACACAUGCAAGUCGAACGAGACCUUCGGGUCUAGUGGCGCACGGGUGCGUAACGCGUGGGAACCUGCCCUUAGGUUCGGAAUAACUCCCCGAAAGGGGUGCUAAUACCGGAUAAUGUCUUCGGACCAAAGAUUUAUCGCCUUUGGAUGGGCCCGCGUUGGAUUAGCUAGUUGGUAGGGUAAAAGCCUACCAAGGCGACGAUCCAUAGCUGGUCUGAGAGGAUGAUCAGCCACACUGGGACUGAGACACGGCCCAGACUCCUACGGAGGGCAGCAGUGGGGAAUAUUAGACAAUGGGCGAAAGCCUGAUCCAGCAAUGCCGCGUAAGUGAGGAAGGCCUUAGGGUUGUAAAGCUCUUUUACCCGGGAUGAUAAUGACAGUACCGGGAGAAUAAGCACCGGCUAACUCCGUG
rnacentral:rRNA from 1 species